GCUAGGAUGAACGCUAGCGGCAGGCUUAACACAUGCAAGUCGAGGGGCAACGCGAGUAGCAAUACUUGGCGGCGACCGGCGCAAGGGUGCGUAACGCGUGAGCAACAUGCCCGUAUCAGGGGGAUAAUCCAGGGAAACUUGGUCUAAUACCCCAUAGUAAUUUUGUAAGGCAUCUUAUAAGAUUUAAAGCUUUGGUGGAUACGGAUUGGCUCGCGUGACAUUAGCUGGAUGGUAAGGUAACGGCUUACCAUGGCUAUGAUGUCUAGGGGUUCUGAGAGGAAGGUCCCCCACACUGGAACUGAGACACGGUCCAGACUCCUACGGGAGGCAGCAGUGAGGAAUAUUGGACAAUGGAUGGAAAUCUGAUCCAGCCAUGCCGCGUGAAGGAAGAAGGUCCUAUGGAUUGUAAACUUCUUUUGUAUGGGAGCAAUAAGGCCUACGUGUAGGUUGAUGAGAGUACCAUACGAAUAAGCACCGGCUAACUCCGUGCCAGCAGCCGC
rnacentral:rRNA from 1 species